rnacentral:lncRNA from 1 species
CAGGGUGUCUGAGUCUCUUCACGGGAAGGACAGAGCUUGUGAAAUACAGCUGGCGCUUCUCGGGGUCUGGCCGGCCAGUCCGGUGAAUGAGCUGGAGUUGCAGCAGAGAUUCCAGGACAACAGGCAAACUCCAGAGGAGCUUCUCCUCUGAUGGGGUCUCAGUGUCAGGGCAAGACAGAGACCCUGCCUGGGAAGGAAGACCUCGGGGCCGAUGGAGGAGGCAGAGAUUUCCGGAAGGGAACAUGCAGUAAGAACCACAACAGGAGCUUGUGCCAAUUGCUAAGUACAGCCUGGCAAGGUCCAUCCCUAAUGAAGGAACAGGCCUGUGCCUCCACCUGGACCAAGCUCCAAGCCCUCCCUGGAACUCAAAUCUGGAACAGAAUGAAAUGAAAAGGACGGCCGGGUUCUGGAGAAAGGAGGUGUCUGCAGAAGAGGUGUGAAGCUCCCUGGGUCCUCCUCUACCAUUCUCACCCCACGCGGCUGAGGCGGCUGGAGGAGGGAUGGCGGGGUCACACAGGUCAUCUGAG